UGCAGUGUGUGUAUAUACACAACAUCAAGAGCAGGAAAAUGGACUCAUUAGGGAGGCAGGCAGUCAUUACCACUCACACUGUACUUCCAGGGAGACAGCGACUAUGAGGAGACAAACUGAGGACUGGGGAACAAGCAGCAUAAAAAAGAAGUAUUAGGAGCUGCUCUUAACCCUUUUGGAGUCCGAAGUCAAAAGGGAACUAGAGGGCUUGACACGUCCUUUACAUCCUGCAUUUAUUCUGACCACAGUCCCUCCCUGUUCUCGCAAGCGGAGCUCAGCCCUGCUUCCCUUCCUGUUGAUUCCCAAUCAGCUACAUGACUGCCUGAAGUUACAUUGUAGAUGCUGAAAUCACUGCACCUUAAAAACAAAAAGAUUAAGCUGCAUUGCAUUCCUUGCCAGAAUCCUCAUGGUUCCCGGUGGAUAUGGGAUCUGCCCAUCCUUCUGCUUUCAGUGGCUGCCAGCGUUUUGCUUUGACCCUUCAUUUUGUUAGAGAAAGACAGGAAGAAUUCCUGUAGGCACCAAAGGAUAGAUCUUCAAUUGCUAUCUGUCCUUUAGGAGACUUCAGAAGACGGCAGCAAGAUAGCUGGAUCAGAAACAGGGAGCACUUGCCAUAUCUACUUGUUAAAGGCCAUUGGAACACUAUCUGGCUUUGCAAGAUGUUGCAGUGUCAGUAAUACUCAUGGCAUCCUUAAGUCCAAAACUACAAUAAAAAGUCUUUUGAAUCCA